rnacentral:rRNA from 1 species
AUUGAACGCUGGCGGCAGGCCUAACACAUGCAAGUCGAGCGAGCGGCGGACGGGUGAGUAAUGUAUGGGGACUGCCCGAUAGCGGGGGAUAACUACUGGAUACGGUGGCUAAUACCGCAUACUAUCGGAUAACCCAUAUGGGAUUCGCUAGUAGGUGGGGUAAAGGCUCACCUAGGAGACGAUCUCUAGCUGGUCUGAGCGGAUGAUCAGCCACACUGGUAGACAGACACGGCCCAGACUCCUACGGAGGCAGUAGUGAGGAAUAUUGCACAAUGGGCGCAAGCCUGAUGCAGCGAUGCCGCGUGUAUGAAGGAGGCCUUGGGGUUGUAAAGUACUUUCAGCGGAGAGGCGUUACCCGCAGAAGAAGCACCGGCUAACUCCGUGCCAGCAGCCGCGGUAAUUC